rnacentral:rRNA from 1 species
UACGUAUGGUGCAAGCGUUAUCCGGAUUUACUGGGCGUAAAGGGAGCGCAGGCGGCGCGCCAAGUCUGAUGUGAAAGCCUUCGGCUUAACCGUAGUAAGCCUUUGAAACUGGGAAACUUGAGUGCAGGAGAGGAGAGUGGAAUUCCUAGUGUAGCGGUGAAAUGCGUAGAUAUUAGGAGGAACACCAGUUGCGAAGGCGGCUCUCUGGACUGUAACUGACACUGAGGCACGAAAGCGUGGGGAGCAAACAGG